rnacentral:rRNA from 1 species
UGGUGGAGUGAUUUGUCUGGUUAAUUCCGUUAACGAACGAGACCUCAGCCUGCUAAAUAGACCGACGAACUUUUUGUUCGCAUCGGCGCUUCUUAGAGGGACUGUCUGUAUCUAGCAGAAGGAAGUGUGAGGCAAUAACA